rnacentral:misc_RNA from 1 species
GAUGAAGAACGUAGCGAAAUGCGAUAAGUAGUGUGAAUUGCAGAAUUCAGUGAAUCAUCGAAUCUUUGAACGCACAUUGCGCCCUCUGGUAUUCCGGAGGGCAUGCCUGUUCGAGCGUCAUUAAAACUACUCAAGCUAAGGUUUUUUUUUACCUUCUGCUUGGUCUUGGGUUUGAGGAUUCAAAAUCCUCUCUCCGAAAUCCAGUGGCGAAUUGUUUGAGCUGUAGACGUAGUAAAUCAUUCUACCCGUUGCAAGCGAGAAUAAUAUUCAGCCAUAACCCCCAUACUUUUCUAGUUUGACCUCGGAUCAGGUAGGGAUACCCGCUGAACUUAAGCAUAUCAAUAAGCGGAGGA